GUGGAUGGUAAGCCGGCCAUUGCUACACAGUGGGAGGUUUACGGUCGGCCAUUUCCUUCCCAGCUCCGAUCUAUCCUUAGCCAUUGUUUAGAGAUUCUUUGACUCUACAACUCCAGCUUUGGUACCGACUCCUUGGCCUUUUAUAUCUCAGUUGUACAGUAUCUUGCAGUGAUAGUUCCAAAUAAGUAUUUGAUGGAUGCAUAAUGGCUACUCAUGCACCAGAUACUCUGAGAAUCUUAGGCAAAUAUGCAACAUACGAAUAAAACUAGAAUACUGGAUGCUUUCCAAUAUGUUUACAGGUUCUUUGCGCGUGCCUAACUCUUAAUCCUCCUCACACACCAGAGUACACGUUAUUUAAGUGGACCACCGGCCAUCCAGUACCCUCAGUUGCUGUAUCAAAAGCUUCAUCUGAGCUAAAUCAAAUCCAAGAGAAGAAAGAAAUAUGGUUUUGUGGAGCAUAUCAAGGCUAUGGCUUUCAUGAAGAUGGACUAAAGGCAGGUGCUAUUGCUGCUCAAGGUCUACUUAAGAGGACCUAUAGUGUCCUGAACAAUCCCAAACACAUGGUACCAACCUAUCCAGAAACAGAAGCAUGCCUCCUCGUUACUAGAUUUCUCAAGAGUUUCAUCGCGACAGGAUGCAUAAUGUGAGUUAUAACAGUUUCACAUUGUAUAGGUUUAGUUCAAAAAUGAUUUUAUUUAACAGCAUGGAAUUUCUACCCAGCCAGUUUUAGCAAAAGUACAUUUAUUAUGCUUUUAUGACUAUCUAUUCUCUUGUAUACUUAACAAUAUACACGAACAAUGCAUAUAUUGUUCUUAGACUAUAUAUUUUUAGAAGAAGGGGGUACGAUGUUCACAUUCGAAGGAACAGAGAAGAAAUUCUCUCUCAAAGUUUAUCUUAGAGUUCAUAGUCUACAAUUUCACUGGAAGGUUGAAACCUAAGGCGACUUAGGCCUUGCUGAUGCAUUUAUUCAUGGGGACUUCUCUUCUGUUGAUAAGAACAACGGUCUUCUUAAUCUUUUCAUGAUUUUUGUUAACAAUAGAGAUUUGAAAGCAUCUGUCACAAGGUCUAGUAAGAGAAGGCUGGUGGACACCGCUGCUUUUUACAGCUGCACUAUCAUCUACAAAAUAUUUCAUUCGACAUGUUUCAAACCAGAACACCCUAACUCAAGCUCGUAAGAACAUUUCUCGUCACUAUGAUCUGAGUAAUGAACUCUUCUCGCUCUUUCUAGACGAAACAAUGACAUAUGCAUGUGCAAUUUUUAAGCGUGAAGAGAAAGACCUGAAAGUUGCACAGGAGUGGAAGAUUUCUUAUUGAGAAGCCAAGUGAUGAGGCUAGUAGACCCAUUUCGCCCAUGGAUGCAAGGAGAUCACGUGAUGAUAAUGAUCUUAAUGACAUUCUUUGAUUUCGUUGCAUUUGUUUUGGAUAUUCAAUUAUGCUGAUGUAAUUGUGUGGUUGGAGUGAAUCUUAGGAUAUUAAAGGUUUUGUGUUUAAAUUUGAUUUUGUAGUUUGAAGAUACUAGUUAAUGUUGAAAAUUUGGUGUUUGAAGA